rnacentral:rRNA from 1 species
UACGUAGGCAGCAAGCGUUGUUCGGAAUUACUGGGCGUAAAGAGUGUGUAGGCGGUGUUCUAAGUUUGUCGUGAAAUCUCCCGGCUUAACUGGGAGGGUGCGGCGAAAACUGGAAUGCUAGAGGAUGGGAGAGGUAAGCGGAAUUCCUGGUGUAGCGGUGAAAUGCGUAGAUAUCAGGAGGAACACCCAGGGGGAAACCAGCCGACUGGGCAUCUACUGACGCUGAGGUGCGAGAGCGUGGGGAGCGAACCGG